GUGCUCACUUGAGCAGUACAUAUACUAAAAUUGGGACGAUACAGAGAAGAUUAGCGUGUGCCUUGUGUAAAGAGGACAUGCAGAUUUGUGAAGCCGUUCAUAUUUUU
ensembl:snRNA U6 U6 spliceosomal RNA